GUGGCAAAGCCAGAAGGCAAACCCAGGCAGUCAGCCCAGGUUUGUCCUCAGAUCCCUGGCAUGACAGUGCCUUGUUUUUGUAGCUGGAGAGCUUCAUGUAGUCAUUCAGCAAACAUUUAGUGAGCUCCUCUGUGUGCCAGGUAUCGUGCACGCUGGCUGGGGUGCAGAGAGUAAUUCCUUCUAACUGUGAGCCUCCAGGACCCUGGGCAAAGGGUAUGCCGCGUAGGAGGAGCUUGCUCCUGUUUGUUGAGUGACUGGGAGUGCUAGGUAUUUGAAAGAUUGCUGAGCUUAGGGCCUGAGAACUUGGAUCCCUGCUGCCGGGAAGGAAAAUGUUAUGACAAGCUCAUCCAUAUUCAGCACCAAACAGGAAACAGACACCCUUCUGAUUUAUUCUCGACAUGCUAGUGGUUCGGUUGGAGGACAGGCCAAGUCGCUGCAGAGGAACAGGCGCUCUGAACCCUGAGAUCCUGGGCCGGGCCAGGUGUCGGUUUCAUCAUGAUGCCAGGCUCCUGCCCAGCCAGGGAGCAGGAGAGGAUGUCUCAACCGCCAACGCCCACGGGCCCUGAGCUGAGAGCCUUCCAUUAGCUCUGGGAGGGAGGCCUGUCUCAAGACAACAAAUUAAGAGGGAAAAAGUGCAAAGCUGGGGAGAAUUCUACAGCCUGCCUGGCCCUGCCAGCUGGUCAGCAUCCAGCCACGGCAGCCAGACCCCAGGGCCGGUGCCCACCCAGUCAGCCUGGCCCUGCAGAGCUGCCCCCACCAAGCACAUCACCUCUCCUGGGCUUCUCUGUCUCCAGCUGCUCUCUGCACACCCACCGAAGCCCUAAGCUGAGUCAGUGUCACCCCUGGCCUUUGACCAUAUUGCAAGGCCUUGGCAGAUGGAGAAAGAUUUAACGUUCCUUCCCGGGAUCAGACUGCAAUGGGAAAGACCUAGUUUCUCAUCCCUUCAAUCAAUAUGAAGAGAUUCUCUACUCUCUUGAGGAUACAGACAGAGUUGAACAGAGCAGUAAUUCCACCAUGUGGAUGGGUUUGGAGAAGCAGAGGUGUCGGUGGUCAGCAGCCGGACUAGACAUCAACACUGCGCGUCCAGGAUGUGUCACCUACAGCAAGUUCCUUAACCUCUCAAGGCUCCGUUUCCUGUCAGUAACAUGGAGUACGGAUCGUGCCUUUCUCCAUCAAACAGUUGCUGGACAGGUGAACGAGUUACUAAUUUGAGAUAUGUAAGCCUGGUACAUGGCCCGGUCAAACAAUGGAAAUGAAUGACCCCUCAUAGCUGCAGCAGAGGCGUAAGCAGAGUUGUGUAGGAGGAGCCCAAUUCUCAGGGCCCCAGGGGACCAGGCUCGCCUCCUGGGAGGAUGUGGGUACAGUCAGAGGGGAGCCUGGGCUGACACACAGCGGUGAGGAUGGCCCGACCCGCUAGGAGCCCAGAGCCCAGACAGGAACCAGACAGACGAAAGUUCUCUGCAGUCAGGACCAAGCGUAGGUUCCAGGAGGGAGGAAAGUUGCACGAGGUAUCAGAUUAUCAGGGACCAGGCAAACGGCAGGGCUCAAGAUCCCAGAGCCACAGGCAGAGAGCUCCCCAGCACCCCAGUAGACACUGUGCCCUGCAUUCUGUUUCCGUGCUUCCUGCUGGGAGGGUGGGAGCUUGGGGGAGGCUGAGGUCAUGGAUAAUUGCAGUGGUCACUGUGGUUACUUCCCCUCCCCCACAACAGCUGCCCAGUGCCCUGAUGGGGUGGUUCUCACCCUACCUCCAGGGUAACUAAUUGUGGACACCCCCCACUACCCUUAGUGCUGUGUAUUGGAAAUGGUCUCGCAGUGCGUGGCUCAGCAUACCUGUCCUGUGGUAUGGGAAAAGUUUCUCUCCCCAAAAGAGGAAAACAAAGGAAUUGCAUCACACUGGUUUCUGCUGGCAGCCUUCCUCUGACUUUGAAAUACAAUGGAAGCCCUGGGGGGCAAAGGACAAAGAAGCAGAGAAACAAAGUUAAAUCCUGAUCAAACUGUGCCUGAUACCCACAGUGCCUUCAGUCUUGAUACACACGAAAAUAAAUCUCAAAGUUAAGUUAAGUUAGGGUGGUAGGCAGAAUAUUGACCUCCCCGGAUACCCAGGCAAUAUCCUUAGACACUGUGAAUCUGUUCAUUUCAAUGGCAAAAAGACUUUAGAUAUGACUGAGGAUAAGGAUCUUGAUAGGGAAGGAUUAUUGCGGAUGCCCAGGUCGGCCAAUCUGAUCAUACAAAUUCUCAGGCUUGGAGAACUUUUCCAAGCCAGGGUCAAGGGAGAUGGACCAGGAAGAGCAGUCAGAGAGAUGCCACACUGUUGGCUUGAAAGAUGGGCCAAAGACCUGGGGUAUGGGCCAGGGAUCUGGGCUCUGGAAAAAACAAAUCCUCCCCAACAGCCCAGGAAGUACAGCAGCCCUGCAGAUAUCUUAUUGUAGUCAAUCAAGAGACAAAGUGAACUUCUAGCCUACCGUAACCUACUAGGACUGUGACAUUAAUCAGUUUGUACACUUUAAGCCAUCAGGUUUGUGGCAACUUGUUAGAACAACGACAGGAAAUAAAAGCAGGCUUUCAAUGACUUGUAACCCGACCCAUCCCGCAGUUCUCAUAACCAUACUAACCGUAGCUAACAGUUUUUAAAAGCAGUUUUCUCUAGGGCUGGGAAUUUAGAUCAGCAGCAUAAGCACCUGCCUUGUAAGCAGGUGGUCGUGAGUUCGAUCCCGUACCAAUAAAAAAAAAAGCACUUCUCUCUCAACCUCUCUUUCUACAUGAUAUCUAAUUAAUCACUACCAUACUGCAGCUAUCAGGCCCAUUUUAUAGAGGAGAAAACUGAGGCUCAGAGAAGUGAAUUAGGGAGUGGGGUGCCUGGGUUUGAAUCGAAGCCCGCAUUACUCUGGCAUCUGUCCACUUCCCUCUGUACUUGGAUGCUCUCAGCCACCCCCAUGGUGGAGCCUGGCUUUCCUGUACCCCAAGAAUGGCUGGUGUGAAAUGGUCCUUUGCCAAAUCUUCCCUGCAGCUGCCCCGUUAACCUUGAGACUCACACUCCCAGCUCUCUCCUUUGUCCACAGGGCUGUUGUUUAAAAAUCACCAUCCUUGCUGGACCGGGUGGUGCACAACCAUAAUCCCAGCACUCAGGAGGCUGAGGCAGGAAGAUCAUAGCAAGCUGGACACCAGCCGAGGCUACAUUGUGAAUUUGGGGCCAGCUUGAACUACUCAGCAAACCCUGUCUCACCACCACCACCACAAACCACCAGCCUUACGGAUGAACUUUCAUUGUAUUUAUAAAAUCCAAAACAUCCUAGAAGAGAAAGACUUCCCCUCUCCAGAUGUGCGACCUCAGUGAUGUUUCUUGAAUGUUAAUGAACACACGGGCCUCCCUGCAGGCCUAGCCAACUCCUGGGGGACAGCAGCACCAAGCUGGGCCCACCAUAGUUUGAUAAGCAAGAGUCUACAUGGCCCAAAUAGAGGAGUAUUGGGAAACCUGGAGAUACCUGGGGUUAGCUGGCUGUCUUGGGUGAACUCAGGAAGCACAGGUCCCCGCAGAGGGUUGCCAGGAGUCCCAAUAGCUCGUCACUGUCACCUCCUCUGCCCUUGUCCCUGCCCCAUUGGCAAACCCAUCAGCUCCAUCUUCAAAAUCUAUCUGGUGCCGGACAUGGUGGUGCACGCCUGUAAUGCCAGCACUCGGAAGGCUGAUGCAGGAGGAUUGUUGUGAGUUCGAGACCAGCCUGGGCUACAAAGUGAGCUCGAGGCCAGCCUGAACUGCAUAGUGAGACCCUGUCCCAAAACAAACAAACAAACAAACGAGAAUAAACUAGCUGGGACCCACUUACCACCUCUUCACCACUGUUUGUCAUGAGAUCAGAGCCACCGUCCCUCUCAACCCAUCCCUUGGCUCCCACUUGCACGCUGGCUUCCCUGUGGUCCAACUUCCACACAGUAGCCAGAGGGACCCUUUGAAAAAUGGACAUGGGAUCCCUUUCUCCCCCUGCUCAAACCUCCAGUGGAGCAAAGCUCCUAUGUAACGUGGCCGCCAUCUGUCUCUGCCUCUGCCCCUCCAAACGAUCCCUUUGCUCCUUCCCAUCCACCAUACCUGCCUCUUUCCAGUGCUUCACAGCUUGUCUGUCACAUUCCUGCCUCUGGGCCUUUGCACUUACUAUUCUUCCAAAUAUUCCCGAGGCUCAAAUCAUUUUAAAACUCCCUUUUCAGAGAGUCCAUCUCAAACCAUCCUGUCUAAAACAGCACUCUCUGACCUGCCACUCUGUUUUCUGCCCCAGCUGUCAUCACCCACUGGCCAGGAAGGCCUGGAUAUGACUCCCAGUCGGGCAUGACCACAGAUGUGGCAGAGGCCAGACUGCCCAGAGCGGCUGGACUCUGCUGAAACUGACAAGAUGAAGUUCAAGCAAGAUCUGCAUCGUCCUUUGCUUGACCUGAAGCAUCAAGCCUUGCAGUUUACCCAAAGGAAAUCAUAUAAAAUACGGUGGAGAUUUAUGUCUGAAACGGGUUGCCACAGUCUUACUGUAAUUAGUGCAAAACCAAAAACAGUUCCACCUUCGGCAAGAGGACCUUAAAGAAGUCAGAUCUCACAGACCCACAAGAUGGAUUCUCAGUCUUGGCAGGGGUGACACUUGUGGCCAGAGGGUCUGCGGUGGGUCCUGCCCUGUGCGUCCGUCACAGAUGUUCAGCUGCCAUCAGCAAUGCCACUCACCCACCUGCUGUGACAACUACAAAGCCCUCCAGACAUUGCCAACUGUCUCCUGGGAGCAAAGUCACCCUGGCUGAGAAUGAAUAUUAUUCAUUGAAGAAAAUUAAUAUAUUCUCUUCAGAUCUUGGAGGAUGCUUAUGAUAUUAUACUGCGUUAAGAAAAAAGGUGCUACGUGUGUUUUCACUAUGUUUGUGUACAGGAGAGAAAAAAGAUUGAAUGGGAAAUAUACCAGGAGGGCAGCCAGGAUUUCCGGGUGGUGGAAUUAGGAAAGAUUUUUUUUCUUGCGUUUUUACCUUUGAUUUUAUACGCUCAUGCAUCUACUGAAUUCACUCAUUUACAGAAUGCCUAUUACGCGGCAUUGUUCUAGGAUGUAAGUAAAGGCUGUGUAUGGGCAGAGAUUCGGCCUGCUCCCCUCCCAGACUUUAUGCUGGGAGGAGGGAUAGACGUGAAACUCACAAGCUUUACAGACGAUGCUCGGGGCUGCCGAUGGGCGCCCUGAGCCCUGCAACGCCAGGAAGGAGAGAGACCGGCCCGCCUCAGCAGCGCCCAGUGUCUCUUGAAUGAAGGAGGAGCACAUAAACCAUUCGAAGGAGGGGAGCUACACUAUCUGAUUUCCAUUUUGAAAUGGUUGUUACACAUUCAUUUUUUUGAAAAAAAAAAUAGAUGAUCUAUGCCUUCAUGAAAAUUCAAACAGCAUUCAGGAGAAAAUACCAAGAGAGAGAAAAAAAGGCGCUUGGCGGAAGGCCACCAGAAAAGCAGCCCUGCAAAUGGUUUAGCAAAUCUCUUGUCAAGCAUCUUUCUCCCUUUUCCCAUCCUCCCUCCCUCUCCCUCUCUCUCUCUCUCUCUUUUUCUGUCUGCCCCUGUCUCCCUUUAUAAAUAUAUAAAAACAUUUUACGCAAGUGGAUUCAAGCCAUUCAUGCUGAUUUGUAACCUGCUUUUUUCCUGCUCUUUGUAAUUUUAUGCUCAUUGUAAACUUUCCACAGUGGGCAUAUAUUACUUUUAUAAUCCCGGACAGAAAAGAAAGCAAAAGACCACAAGAAAUAAAAUGAAACCCACAAAUACAGGAUGAGGGCUCCCUGGCCAAGCAGUAUGACUGUAAAGAAAGGCUUUGAGGUUUCGCUGGCCACAGACUCAGCAGGAGCUGACGGCAUGAUGCGGUUUCUCCUCUCAGCUCAAUUCACCGGACGGACCGUUCCCUAGCAGAAGACCAUGUGAACAGGCUUCUCUGGGCUAACUCCGGGUCUGCUCAACCCUCUCCUUUAUAGCUCUCCAAGCACCUGGUAGGUCUAAACCCAGGAUGAUACCCGCAUAACAGUUAUGUUUCAUGAGCACUUAGGACUUUACCCCAACCAGUGUUCCAGGAUCUUUACAUAUAUUAACUUAUGUAAUCCCCCAGUGACCCAUGGCAUGGAUCUCAUUGUUAUUCUCAGUUUAUGGAGGAAGAAACUGAAGCCCAGAGAAGCUAUAGAGUUUUCCUGAGGUCACACAGCUUAAUAAAGCAGCACCAGAAAUACCAAGAAGAACAAACCCCAGGUCUGCCCUCAAAGAAUUAACAGCUGCCAUCACUUCACAUUAAUUCAUUCAACCAACAUUCUCUGUUUAAGGCCCUCGAAUACAUUCACUGUUCGAGGAUUUUGUGAAUACAUUCUCUCAGCCUGCCUUAACGGUUGUUUCAUCUGUGUAGGCAUCCAAGUAAUUUUUACGGGGCACCGUGACCACCAAUUUGAAUGGAUUAAGGGUGAAAGGAGCACAGCUCUUCCGGUGUCUGUGGGUGACUGACAGGUAGGCGGGAAGAAGAACCGGAAGUGUGUGGCACUGACCAAUGGGCUCGUAGCCUGGAUGGCAUUAAAAGGGAAGGAACCAGGAAGUCGCUGCUGUGCUUUGGAGGCGCUCUGCUCUUCUGCCCUGCCUUGGGGGACCUCUUGACUUUCUAACACAGGACUCGCACGGACUCUGCAGCCUUUGACCUUCACCUGGGUCCUCUAGCUCUCUGGGGCUCAGAUGGCCUUUGGAUUCUUUACCCUGCUCCAUAGGCGCCAUUGUGGGCGCCUUCAUAUGAUCAUGUGUGUGUGCAUGUGGAUGUCUACACUAAAUCAGUUCCUCGAGUAAAACCUGGCUGAUGCGAGCACCAAUCGCACACCUGACACAGUGUGAGACCAGAAAACGGUGGUGAACAAUGGUGGUGCACAGUUGACCUCGUAAUGAAGACAGAGAUAAAUAUACUAAUGAAGCAUGAGAUACAUGAACUGAAUGUGGAAGAGGACUGAAGUAGAGAGGGCUGGAACUGACUGGGUGAGAUAUGAGCGGGAAGAAAGUGUUAGACAUUUAGAGAAGCCAGUGGGGACGGCCUUUUGGAUGUGGUGCCUGUGGAACAGUGAUCUGAACAGAGAGAGGAAGCAAGUCUUGGGAACAUGUGGGGAAUGUAAUCCUGACAUGAAGAACAGCAAGUGCAAAGGCCCUGAGGCCUGAGAACGUUUGAAAGGGCCACAGAACACCAAAGAGGCAAAUGGGCUGGGAACACAGUGAGAGGCAGAACUAUUGGCUGGACAGCAGGGUCAGUGACACACCAGGAAUGCAGCCAGCAGGGCAACUCCCAAACUGUCCGGGCUGCAGCCCUAAGGUCGGUGUCCUCCAAGAGGCAGUGGCCGGCCCUGACCUCAGCUAAAUACCCAGCAGUCCUACUGUUGGUUUAGCGUGUGCCUGGUUUGAAUUCAGCAUCUCCCGCCCUCCAGCCUGACAGCCUCCCUCUUCCCCAGGUGACAAGUGUCCAUAUAACAUCAGUGUUGCAGGAGCAGGUUAACAUCGGAGAUGCCGGAACAAAUGAUCUGCAUUUGAAAUCACUUCACCAGGACUCACUGUGCAACCCCAGGCAGAGCGUGGAGCUCUCUGUGCCUUAGCUUUCCAGCUUUAACACGGAGAAUCAUGAUUGGGGGGACCGUGGCGCAUGUCCCAUGCCUGGAACGUCAGCCUGGGGGUCCUGCAACUUAGCAAGUUCCGGUCCAGAACUAAAAAGGACUGGUUGUAGCUCAGUGUGAAGGCCCUGGGUUCAAACCCCAGUGCGCAAAAAAGUAAUAAUAUUAAAAGAAAAAAGUGAAAAAGAAGAGAUGGGGAUAGUUUCUACCUCCGAAGGUUGUUAGAAUUCAGUGAGCUGGUUGUGUCAGACCCUGGAGGCCAGGCAAGUGCUCAGUAGCAGCCCUGUGUACCUUGAAGCAUUUCGUUUGUUUGAGUAUUAACAGCCUUUCCUGCCUCAGUGCUGUGCUGGGAACUGGGGAAACACAGGCAAACACAGCAGACGGUCCUGUCUUACAGGAAAGGCAGACCAGCCAGGAGGAUGACAGCACAGUGCAUCACUGGACAAGACACAAGGCCCUUUGGAAACAGAACAAGGGUUCCUGAGCUAGUCAGAUGCAAUCAGCCAUGGCUUCCUGGAGGAGGUGCUGUCCCAGUCCAGGCCUGAAGGACAAGUGGAUGAGGGGCUGUAGGACUAGGUGCUCCAGGUAGAGGGAACAGAGUUGGCAAAGGCUCAGAGGCCAGACACCAGGCUGCUCCCAGGGAAUAGUGGGCAGUGCUGGGACAUUGCUUGUGAGAAGCAGGCAGCUGGAGGAUGCAGGGCCAGGCUGUGGGGGUCUCCUGAGCCACCAAUACUGGGCUCACAAGUGUAAACUCGAGGAUGAGGUUGAGCUGAGCCUUAUUUUUAUCUCCUUUUUCAUUCAUGAAACAGAACACUCAUAGGAUCAGUAGGCAAAGUUCUCAGCUUGGAGCAGUACUGUGUGGAGGUUAAGCAUUUGCAUUCUGGGUCCAGGGUGUAGUUCAAGGUCAGAAUGAUUGGGUUCCUAACCAUCCAAGAGUAGGUAAGUUACUGCAACCUUCUGAGCCUCCAUUUCCUGGGCUGCAAAAUGGGACACACUAUAGGUUUGGUCUUAAAUAUCCUCCAAAGUUUCAUGUGUUGAAGGCUUAGUUCCCAGCCUAUGGGAACAGUUGUGAGGUGGUGAAGGCUUUAGGAGGUGGAACCCAGAGGUUAAAUCACUAGGUUGGGGGAGGUGACGUGGAAGGGGACACAGGCACCCCAGCGCCUUCCGCUCUCUCUUGGUUUCCUGGCCACCAUGAUGUGAAACGUGUACCUCGUUCUCCCACUAACAUGGACUUCACAGGCUCAGUGCAACAAGGUCAAGCAACAAUGGACUGAGCCUUCUGAAACUGUAAGCCAGGACGAACCUCCCUGCUUGAAAGUCGAUUCUCUUGGGUAUUCUGUCACAGUGGCAGAAAGCCAACAAACCAAGAGAUCAGCCACCUAGUGUUGUAAGAAUAGAGUCUAUAUAGAAGGGACCCAACAGUUCCUGCAAGAAAUAAGUUCUCAACAAAAUAACAACACAGGCCAUUAUUAGAACUUCCAGCUGGGCCAAGUGGCACACACUUGUAAUCCCCAGACUCAGGAGGCUGAGGCAAGAGGAUUGCCAUGAGUUCAAGGCCAACCUGAGCUACCUGGUGAGUUCAAGGCCAGUCUGCACUAUAUAGCAAGACCCUGUUUCAAAAAGAGAGAGAAGAGAGAGAGAACUUUCUCCACACAACCAGUGCCUUUGCAGCUCCUACCUUGUUAAAUCAUCUUUUUAAUUUUCAAAUGAAAAAACUUUAUUUAUGGCAUGGCGUGGUGUUUCGGUAUAUGAACCAUCAUGGAAUGAUCAGGUCAAUCCGCGCAGCAUCCCUGUUACCUCACAUGUUUAUUGUUAUUUGUGAUGACAACAUUCAAAAUGGACUCUCACAGGUACAACACACGAUGGUUGUGGUCACCGUAUGGUACAGUGGAACCCCGGGACUCAUUCCUCCUCCCUAAGACACGGGACCCUGAGCUAGCAUCUCCCCGGCCCAGGCCCUGGUGAGCACCACCCUGCUCCCUGCUUCCCUGAGCCUGACUCUUAGAUCCCACAGGUGGGUUCGACCGUGCAUUUCUGUCUCUCUGUGCCUGGCUUACAUCACUUAACAUAAUGUCUUCCAAGCUCAUCCAUGCUGUCACAAAUGACAGGAUCGCCUGCUCUCUUCACGCUGGGUACAGUUGCAUUUGUGUAUGCACAUUUGCUUCAUUCAUUCAUUCCCUGGGGGGUGCUAAGGUUAGUUUCGCAUCUUAACUACUGCGAAUGGAGCUGUGAUCAACAUGGACACACAGAUGUCUCUUGAACACAGUGAUUUCAUUUCCUUUCCACGUAUACGCACGGGCAAGAUGGCUAGAUCACGUGGGUAGUUCUAUUUUUAAGGCUUUGAGGAACUUUCAUUCUGUUUUCCACUAAGACUGCUAAUCUGCAUUCCCAUGCACAGUGAGUAAGAGUUCCCGUCUCAGCAUCCUUCCCACCGAAUGAUCCAGCAAUCUGGAGACAAAGAAAGCAGAACAUCAAAGAGACAUCUGCACUCCCCCGUGAUCACGGCGCUAUUCACAAAAGCCCAGAUUCUGGAUCAACCUAAGUGUCCAUCAACAGAUAAAUGGAUGGGAAAGAGUGGACUCUGUAUGCCAUAAAAAGAAUAAAAAUCCUGUCAUGUGCAGCGACGUGGAUGAGCCCAGAGGACAUUAUGGCCCGUGAAAUGAGUUGGGCAGAAAGACAAAUUCUGCAUGUCCUCACUCAAAUGCGAAGGCUGCAAAUCAAAGUUGAUCCCAUAGAAGCAGAGGGUAGAAUGCUGGUGCCAGAGGCCAAGAAGAGGAGGGACUAGGGAGAGACACAGCUCACAGGUGCACGAGUGGAGUCAGCUGGGGAGAUGAAGUCCCAGUGAGCCACGGGAAGUGAGGUGACCACUGUGAUUGUUUAGAUCUGUAACAGCUCCCAAAGUCUCAGGGUUCCGAGGUGGGCCUUUUGGAAGGUCACUAUAUCCUGAGCGUUCUGACUUCAGUGUGGGUUAAUCCAUAAGUGAGAUCAUAAUUUGAUGGCAUUAUUGGGAGGUGAUGUAUACUUAGGAGGAGCAGCCUAGGUGAAUGGAGUGGGUGAUGGGGGCAUGACCUGGGGACUCUGUCUUGUCCCUUGCCCCUUCCUCUCAGGCUCUCUCAACCUCUCUGUUUCCUGGUUGCCAUGAGCUGAGCAUCUUUCUACCUCCACACUGUUAUGCCAUGAUGUUUCCAUCAUGCCGUGAGCACAAAAGCACUGGGGUCACUCAGCCAUGGACUGAACUCUCCAAAACCAUGAGCCACAAUAACUCUUUCCUCCCUUAAAUUGUGAGUAUUGAAUAUUUUGCCACAGCAACGGACAGCUAACACACUACCAUUAACAAUAAUUCAUCGUAAACUUCAAAAUAACUAGAAGAGGAUUUUGAAUGUUCCUAACACAAAGAAAUAAUAAAUG